rnacentral:rRNA from 1 species
CAACUUUCAGCAACGGAUCUCUUGGCUCUCGCAUCGAUGAAGAACGCAGCGAAUUGCGAUAAGUAAUGUGAAUUGCAGAUUUUCAGUGAAUCAUCGAAUCUUUGAACGCACCUUGCGCUCCUUGGUAUUCCG